rfam:Gorilla gorilla gorilla genomic chromosome, chrX, whole genome shotgun sequence
AUCUUUUUGUAGUUCAUGAGCAUGAAGAUUGGGUGUUCAUGCACAUGUGUGAGAUGUGCCACCCUUGAACCUUGUUAUGACAUUGGCAUCUUACCCCUCUGGCC